ensembl:lincRNA
UAAAGUGCAAGAGUUUGAUAUCUAACUGGAUGUCUCAAUUAACAGAAGAGUCACGUCUAGGAAGGAUGUUUGAAAUGUUACAUUAGGAGGCUGACAGCUGUUCCUUCCUGACGUUUGGAGGUGAGAAUUAUUGACACAACCCCAGUAUCAUGGAGCACUCCUCUCUGCAAGUGUAAACUGCUGUGUGUUGUUUGAAGAACACUGCACGUGCUAUCUUCCUCAGUACUAUUCUGUUUUUCUCAUCUCUGGGAUUCAAAGAAAUUGUGUAUACAGCAAAGAAACCUCAACUGGGAUGAAAUGGAGCUGGAUGACAGAGGACCUAGUGUUUGGGUUUCUUGGAAGAGCCUUAACUGGGACGUUGGUCAGGAAAUGUUACCAAUGCUAUUUGUCAUGCUAAAAGGAGAUGUGACCAAAUAGAAAGGACUGUGGGGACCACGAAAGGAGAGUAAAUAGGCUCUGGCUGGUUCUGAAUUCUGGGAUCUCAUUAACAGUCAUCAGGAGCAGACAAGCUGGUCGUGUUCUGGGGCAUUCCAAUUUGUGCCACAGAAAGGCUCUCAGAGAAAAGUGCCACUUAAGCCUUCCUGUCAUGCCUGGGAGUGUCAGAAAGUUGUUUGGUAUGACUCAAAGCCUGAUUAUAGUUUGGCUUGUAUAACCACCAUCUGCCUGCAUGAUUUAUCUCAGCCUUUUUAACAGUAUGGUUUUAGUUAUAGCAUUGGGAGUUUUUAGGUGUGAUAAAUGGUAAGAGUAAAUUACCCCUUUAGAUGAAGAAGCAUAUGUUAUGAAGAUUAGCAUUAUCAAGCAGUUUAUAAUGUAUUUUGUUCUUAAGGGAAAAUUUUAUGGAAAUUUGAAUCAUCAAUUACAAUGAAUCUGAAGUACCACCAAGAGUUGCUUCACUCCCCCAUCUUUCUAAAUUAAUUAGUGCUGUCCUCAUUUUCAAUAGAACUGAGUGGCUGCCUUUUGUUCGGCUUGCCUAACAAUGCAAUUGCAGACCAAACUAGUGCCUGGAAGAAUUCACAUAGCUGCUUGAAAAUUCAGUAACGUUGCAGGACGUUGGACAGAAAACCCAAGAUGUCUGGGACUAUCAGGAAAGUUGUCAAAAAAAUGUAACAGAAGAUUAUGGCCUAAUCUGCAGCCUGUUUUUCUUAGCGUGGUGCCUCUUCAACAUCUCCUAAUCUAUUCCUCUUUUGCUUUCACUUAUAUCCCUCCAACUGCCUCAGAGAAACACACUUAUAUAUACAUAAAUGUGCUUUAAUAUUCAUACAUCUAACAUAUUUAUCCCUUCUUCAAUCUUCCUCCUUUAUGAAAAAAAUAGAACAAGCUUUAGGAAUCAGAUGACUAUAAUGUUGUUUUUCGAAUGAUUUUAAACUUAUUACUUGACAAUUAUGCAUUCAUUAGUAGUUCAGAAAACUAGCAAUUUCACAUGUAAGAAGUUAAUUUCUUAGGUUAACAAAGAUUAUACAAGGCACAGGGAAUGCAAAGAAGCUAAAUAAACACUUGUUGUUUCUUUAUUGUUGUUGUUGGUUAUAAUUCCCUCUAAGCUGUAAGCCCUAUGAAGAUGGAAAUUGUGUCUGAUUUUUCCACCAUUAUAUUGUCAACACUUAAAACAAUGUCCAGUGUAUAGAAAGUGCUCAAUAAACAUGUGCAAAGUGAAUGAUCUCAUUGAAC